CCAUAUGAGUUGGUUGUCCUCUUAAUCAAUAAGUGUGGAGACACUGGUAUAGCAUAGAGGUGAGAUGUAAAAGUGUAUCGUCACUGAACAAGUGACUCACCUGCUGAGCGCUCUGCUAUUAAGAGCAGCUCACGAAGCAUAUGGGUAUAAGUAUCUCUCAAACCUGAGAUCACCAUAGUAACUUACAAGCAACUUAUUGUGCUUUGGUGCCAGACUACCUGUAUUUUUAAUGCAGUGACGGAAGACUGUUGGGUACAAUCAAGUACUUGUGAAGUCUGUGUG
rnacentral:lncRNA from 1 species